rnacentral:rRNA from 1 species
GAUGAACGCUGGCGGCGUGCUUAACACAUGCCAGUCGAACGGAAAGGCUCCUGCUUGCAGGGGUACUCGAGUGGCGAACGGGUGAGUAACACGUGGGUGAUCUGCCCUGCACUUCGGGAUAAGCCUGGGAAACUGGGUCUAAUAUCGGAUAGGACGAUGGUUUGGAUGCCAUUGUGGAAAGUUUUUUCGGUGUGGGAUGAGCUCGCGGCCUAUCAGCUUGUUGGUGGGGUAAUGGUCUACCAAGGCGUCGACGGGUAGCCGGCCUGGGAGGGUGUACGGCCACAUUGGGACUGAGAUACGGCCCAGACUCCUACGGGAGGCAGCAGUGGGGAAUAUUGCACAAUGGGCGCAAGCCUGAUGCAGCGACGCCGCGUGGGGGAUGACGGCCUUCGGGUUGUAAACUCCUUUCGCUAGGGACGAAGCGCAAGUGACGGUACCUGGAGAAGAAGCACCGGCUAACUACGUG